rnacentral:rRNA from 1 species
AAAAACCUUACCUGCCCUGACAGUCAGAAUCUCCCAGAGAUGGGGGAGUGCCUUCGGGAGCCUGAACACAGGUGCUGCAUGCUGUCGUCAGCUCGUGUCGUGAGAUGUUGGGUUAAGUCCCGUAACGAGCGCAACCCUUGUCCUUAGUUGCCAGCGGUUAGGCCGGGAACUCUAAGGAGACUGCCGGUGAUAAACCGGAGGAAGGUGGGGACGACGUCAAGUCAUCAUGGCCCUUAUGGGCAGGGCUACACACGUGUACAUGGCCAGUACAGAAGGUUGCCACCCGCGAGGGGGAGCCAAUCCUGAAAGCUGGUCGUAGUCCGGAUCGCAGUCUGCAACUCGACUGCGUGAAGUCGGAAUCGCUAGUAAUCGCGAAUCAGCAUGUCGCGGUGAUACGUUCCCGGGCCUUGUACACACCGCCCGUCACACCAUGGGAGUGGGCUGCACCAGAAGUAGGUUGCUUAACCCGUAAGGGAGGGCGCUUACCACGUGUGUCAUGACUGGGGUGAAGUCGUACA